ACUCCUACGGGAGGCAGCAGUGGGGAAUAUUGCACAAUGGGCGAAAGCCUGAUGCAGCGACGCCGCGUGAGGGACGAAGGCCUUCNGGUUGUAAACCUCUUUCAGCAGGGAAGAAGCGAAAGUGACGGUACCUGCAGAAGAAGCACCGGCUAACUACGUGCCAGCAGCCGCGGUAAUACGUAGGGUGCAAGCGUUGUCCGGAAUUAUUGGGCGUAAAGAGCUCGUAGGCGGUUUGUCGCGUCUGCCGUGAAAACUCAGGGCUUAACCCUGAGCCUGCAGUGGGUACGGGCAGACUAGAGUGUGGUAGGGGAGAUCGGAAUUCCUGGUGUAGCGGUGGAAUGCGCAGAUAUCAGGAGGAACACCGGUGGCGAAGGCGGAUCUCUGGGCCAUAACUGACGCUGAGGAGCGAAAGCAUGGGGAGCGAACAGGAUUAGAUACCCUGGUAGUCCAUGCCGUAAACGUUGGGCGCUAGGUGUGGGGCUCAUUCCACGAGUUCCGUGCCGCAGCUAACGCAUUAAGCGCCCCGCCUGGGGAGUACGGCCGCAAGGCUAAAACUCAAAGGAAUUGACGGGGGCCCGCACAAGCGGCGGAGCAUGCGGAUUAAUUCGAUGCAACGCGAAGAACCUUACCAAGGCUUGACAUACAGAGAAAACUGUCAGAGAUGGCAGGUCCUUACGGGCUCUGUACAGGUGGUGCAUGGUUGUCGUCAGCUCGUGUCGUGAGAUGUUGGGUUAAGUCCCGCAACGAGCGCAACCCUCGUUCUAUGUUGCCAGCGGAUAAUGCCGGGGACUCAUAGGAGACUGCCGGGGUCAACUCGGA
rnacentral:rRNA from 1 species